rnacentral:lncRNA from 1 species
UGUAGGGGCCAGAUGUGACCACAAAACGUCUGGUUAGUUGAGCUGCUCGUCCUUUUAGCUGUCCAGUGCAUUUGACCGAAAUGGGUUCCUUCUCCCCCAUGCUCAGACCGUCUUCCAGCGACAGCCAGGUCCCGGAUUCAGGCGAGUACCACUGCAAAAAUAACCAAAUUUCUUCCUUUUCUCACAGAAGCAACCACGGUGGUAGUGUGGAUGCCUGGCCCUCCUGGGAGGCGAAGGAAGGGCAGUGGGAGAAAAGCUUUGAAUCCUCAAAUCGUCAUUCUUUCUUUCGCGGGGAGGGGAAGGGGGAGGUAGCCUGGAAGAGGGGCGAGGAGCCCGUCCCCAAGGCCUCCGAGCGCUGUCCCGCCGCCGGCACGGCAGAGAAGCCCCCCCCGCUUCUCCUGUCCCCUAACCCCGGGUGUUUCCCCUCUGUCACCGUCGCCUUCGCCGUUUGGCUGGACGCCGAGGCUUUGGGAGCGGUGUUUGUUGCGGUCGCUUUCCUCGUUAGUGUUUGUUCGUCUCCUUCGCUUUCAGGACAAAAGAUUAAAAGGGGGGCGGUGUAGAAUUAAAGAGAGCGCGAGAGAGAGAGAGAGAGAGAAGAACGAGCAGCUGGAGCUCCCCAAACCCAGGCCAGCCCCAGCUGCGGCGGCAGGGAACAAGGGGCAUCGGCUGCCUGGGAAGUUUGGGAAAUUUGCUGAUGGGGGAAUUUGUGCGACUGGAGGGGGAGCCGGUCAUUUACCAAUUCUGUAUAAAAUAGGGGAAAGGUUGACGUGUCCCAGUCACGUGAGCACAUAAUUCAAGCUAUUAUUUUGGCAUUUGGAGUGGGGGUGGAGAAGAAAAGCGGGGAUGGUGAUUCCCAGCCCGCCUCCGGUGAGCCGCUCCCCAAACACCCAUGUGCACCCGCUGGAACCGCAGCCUCGCUCACCCCAAACCCGCCCCAAACCCACCCCAUCCCGACCCCGCCGCAGGUUUUGGCGACCGGGCGGGAGAGUGGUGGUGCGGGGGACGCGAGGAUGCGAGAGGCUGCGGGGGGGGGGGCUGGAGUCUGCGGGGGACUGCGGGGCUGCCGGGGGGGUGCGAGAGGCUGCGGGGCUGCUGGGGGUGCGGGCGUGCCGGGCACCCAUCCCGCAGCAGCCUGGGAGCGGCGCGGAGCCGGGCGUUGUUUUGUUUUGUUGUUUUUUUUUGGAGACAAUUCAAAAGCACUUCCGCUGAGCGAUCGUUAACCUGGUGAGUUAUUGCUCCUCUAAGCAAAGGUCAUGGGGAGAAAAAGGUCUAAUCUGUCAAGGAAAAAACACUGCUCACUCAGGUUCAUUUUGAUUUCUUAUCCGGGCUGGCUUCUGUUUGGGGUUUAAGGAGGUCCUGGACCUUUCGUAACUCUCCCCUCCCUCGGGUUCUCUGAGGAAUGGGAGCGUGGAAACCCAGACUCCUUCAGACCAAAACAAAAAGGACCGAGGGAGGCUGAGCAGCCCCCGGGGAGACGGUGGGUGCCGCGGAGGCCUCCACCCUGCCCCAGUGAGGGCCGAG